AGCUUUGUGCAGUGGCAUUAUCACAGCCACUAAGGUUUAUCCAAGACACAAUUAUUGCUAAUUGAAAACGAUUCAUCAGACAGUC
ensembl:snRNA U4 U4 spliceosomal RNA